rnacentral:rRNA from 1 species
CCUACGGGGGGCAGCAGUGAGGAAUAUUGGUCAAUGGACGAGAGUCUGAACCAGCCAAGUAGCGUGAAGGAUGACUGCCCUAUGGGUUGUAAACUUCUUUUAUAUGGGAAUAAAAUGUUCCACGUGUGGGAUUUUGUCUGUACCAUAUGAAUAAGGAUCGGCUAACUCCGUGCCAGCAGCCGCGGUAAUACGGAGGAUCCGAGCGUUAUCCGGAUUUAUUGGGUUUAAAGGGAGCGUAGGUGGAUUGUUAAGUCAGUUGUGAAAGUUUGCGGCUCAACCGUAAAAUUGCAGUUGAAACUGGCAGUCUUGAGUACAGUAGAGGUGGGCGGAAUUCGUGGUGUAGCGGUGAAAUGCUUAGAUAUCACGAAGAACUCCGAUUGCGAAGGCAGUUCACUGGACUGCAACUGACACUGAGGCUCGAAAGUGUGGGUAUCAAACAGGAUUAGAUACCCGAGUAGUC